UGCAAGUCGAGCGCCCCGCAAGGGGAGCGGCAGACGGGUGAGUAACGCGUGGGAAUCUACCCUUUUCUACGGAAUAACGCAGGGAAACUUGUGCUAAUACCGUAUGUGUCCUUCGGGAGAAAGAUUUAUCGGGAAAGGAUGAGCCCGCGUUGGAUUAGCUAGUUGGUGGGGUAAAGGCCUACCAAGGCGACGAUCCAUAGCUGGUCUGAGAGGAUGAUCAACCACAUUGGGACUGAGACACGGCCCAAACUCCUACGGGAGGCAGCAGUGGGGAAUAUUGGACAAUGGGCGCAAGCCUGAUCCAGCCAUGCCGCGUGAGUGAUGAAGGCCCUAGGGUUGUAAAGCUCUUUCACCGGAGAAGAUAAUGACGGUAUCCGGAGAAGAAGCCCCGGCUAACUUCGUGCCAGCAGCCGCGGUAAUACGAAGGGGGCUAGCGUUGUUCGGAAUUACUGGGCGUAAAGCGCACGUAGGCGGAUAUUUAAGUCAGGGGUGAAAUCCCAGAGCUCAACUCUGGAACUGCCUUUGAUACUGGGUAUCUUGAGUAUGGAAGAGGUAAGUGGAAUUCCGAGUGUAGAGGUGAAAUUCGUAGAUAUUCGGAGGAACACCAGUGGCGAAGGCGGCUUACUGGUCCAUUACUGACGCUGAGGUGCGAAAGCGUGGGGAGCRAACAGGAUUAGAUACCCUGGUAGUCCACGCCGUAAACGAUGMWWRYUMGYYKUYGGGCAGUWUWCKGAUUCRGWGRCKMAGCKAAMGYGAUAAGUUAGCCACCUGGGGA
rnacentral:rRNA from 1 species